GCGGCCGGAGAUUGGUGUCCUCUACUUGGCAGCUUGGAUCUCGCCAUCAGGCGUCAUCGGAUUGUCGGCGUCGGGAGAUUGAGAUGAGAAGCCGGGGGUGUGGCAGCCGACGAUAGGAGGCGGUGGAUUGCCGUUAUACUUACGUUUCGCAUCGCCGCCAGUGGUGUAUUGGAGUUAUCCGGAGGUGAAUCGAGAUGGAAAUGAGGGAGAGAGAUUGAGAAACCUAGAAAAGGUGUAGAUCGAGG
rnacentral:lncRNA from 1 species